UUUUAUUUGGUCCAACUAAUGCAAGUCCAAUGUGUUGUGUUGAAGCCUUAGGCAUCACUGGCUCCUCCAAGGUAAGUCCGUCGUCCCUUUGUGACGUUGUUGGGGACUUUUGUUUUCCAGCUUCCUCGAGAUUCAUGUCCUUGUUUGAUGGUGGAUGUUGGAUGUCGUCUGAGUUUUUUAGAGCCGGCUUUUUCUGCUCCUUGGUCAGCUCCUAGACCAGUUCUAUUUCCUCACGUGAUUUUUCCAAUUCCUUGUGUAGUUGUUGGACCGUGUUAUUGGCUUCGAGGGCCAUUCCAUGUUGGACACAUGUUCUGUCCUUCUCCUUUUGUUGACCACAUGUAGUCAUCCUUUGCACACCAUUUAAUGUUUGCAGACCGCAUGGGUUUUCUUCUAUGACUGUGUGAAUGUCUCUGAGUUAUCCUUGUGACAUGGGUCACUUGAUCUGAGUCCUUCAUUAUUUUAUUGUGAUCUUUGGUAAUAUUUGGAAAUGAGUUUGGGUUGGUAUGUAAGGGUCCUUUGAAUUUUGUGUGAGUCCCUCAUUUAAUUCCAUUGGAUUCCUAACUACACCAUAGUCAGUUGGGAUAAUAUUACUUGUAUGGGUGAGAUAAUUUUAUUUUCUCUCAGCAACUGAGUCUCUUCUUUCCCCAAUGAUGUGGUAGUAGCUUCACUCUCCAACCUGAUCCCUUUGUAUGUGUGUUCCAUUGUUUGUUUGUUGUUGGUCAUUUGAAUUUCUUCUCCUUCUUUUAUUGUUACUGGUGUGCCAUGCAUGUCAUCAUUGGCUGAAAAUGGUAGAGGAGUCCCGAAAAAUUUCUUUAACUAAGACACAUGUACCACAUUAUGGAUUUUAUGUGACAUUAUCUAUUCAGCCCAAUAUUUGGAACGGUCCAAAAAAGCGUUCAGCAAGCUUUUGGGAUCUCCAGCGGGAUAUGAUAUUUUGUCAAUAUGGUUGAAGUUUCAGCAAGACCCAAGCACCUAGUUCGAAUGUUUUUCACCUUCUUGCAUCUACAUAACUUUUCAUUCGUUGUUUUGCUAUGAAAAUAUUUUCUUUUAAAGCUACCAUUAUUUGUUUCUUUUCACGUGGUAUAUCGCCCAUGUGUUGUUGUGAAGUUUGACUGGGACUGUAAUCCUUCAGCAAUGGCGGUUUGCUACCAUCAAGAGAUAGAAAUGUAGACAUUCUAAUUUCAGAGUGUUUUUUGGUAUUAUACCAAAACCUGACGAAAUGUAGAAAGCAAAACCAUACCUUCAGUUGGACAUUAGUGAAGCGAGGAAGAUAUCCUUCAAGGCAACGGUUGACGAUUUCUGUUUGGCCAUCGGAAUCUGGAUGGUAACUGAUAUGAAACACAAUUUAGUUCCUUGCAUUUUAAAAAAUUAUUUCCAAAACUUGCUCAUAAAUAGAAAAUAUCUAUCAGAUAAGAUGGUUCGAUGUGUUCCAUGUAAAUGAAAGAUAUCCUCAAGGAACCUGGAUGCUAGUUGAGUUGCAGUGAAGUGUGUCGGCAUUACAAUGAAAUGGGCAAACUUUGUUAGACGAUCUACAACAACCCAUAUGAUGGUAUGUCCACCUGAUAGAGGUAAGUGUAUAAUGAAAUCCAGAGAAAUAUCUUCCCAAACUUGAAGAGGAGUUCAUAAAGGUUGGAGUAAUCCUUGUUUUUGGAAUGGUGGAUACUUAUUUUGUUGACAAACCAAUCAAUGCCUGAUAAAACAUUUUUUUUAUUUGCACAUGCCUCGCCAGUAGAAGGAAGAAGUGAGAUGGGUCAAUGUUGGUUUCAAGCUUGAGUGUCUUGCUGCCAGUAUGAGUGGAACUCAUUGCUUAGUACAGCUCGCAAGUUGUGCUUGUCAGGUAUGAAUAACUUGUCUUUAAAGUACAAUAAUGAAUUAGAUACACGGAUUACUACAUCUUCUUUGUGUUUUUGUAACAUAUUAGUGAUCAAAUUUUCUCCUUCUGUUGAUGUGUAGAAAUUUUCAAGUUGUUGCAAAAGUGAGGGGACUAGUGAUGAGAUGUUGGCCAAGAUGGUGCCUUCUGUAGAAAUAUUUCUAGAUAAUACAUCCACAGAUUUAUUUUCUCUCCCUGGACGGUAAAAAGAUUCAUGCUCAAAUCCUUGUAACUUUGUUGCCCAUAUUUGUUGUUCAGUUGUUUGGAAUGUCUGAGUCAUUAUAAAUUAGAAUGUCUUCAAAGAAAACCAAGACAAAUUUUCUUUAAAAUGGGCGAAGUAAAUCAUUCAUAGCAGCCUGAAAGGUUGAUGGGUCGUUGGUGAGUCCAAAUAACAUUACUAAGAAUUCAUAAUGCCCAUCUGCAGUUCGAAAAGCUGUCUUGUGAGUGUCUGUUGGAUCGAGACGUAUCUAGUGAUACCCUGAUCGUAAAUCGAUCUUAGAAAAAUUGUAGCAUGUGCUAGUUCAUCUGAAACUUCAUCAAUGGUAGGAAUAGGAAAAUGAUUAUUAACAUUAAUGGCAUUAAGAUUUCGAUAAUCCAUACAGA
rnacentral:lncRNA from 1 species